rnacentral:rRNA from 1 species
UUCCAGCUCCAGUAGCGUAUACUAAUUUUGUUGCAGUUAAAAAGCUCGUAGUUGAAAUUCGGCGCUUACGCGUCUGCCCGCGAGGAUUUCCGGUACCUAACCGUACCUGUUGUUCAAACGGGCCUUUACUGUGAAGAAAUUAAAGUGCUCAGAGCAGGCUAUGGCUUGUAUAACAAAGCAUGGAAUAAUAGAAAAAGACUUUCUUCUUUUAUUGGUUAUGAGGAAAGUAAUGAUUAACAGAAUCAGUUGGGGGCAUUCGUACUUAAUCGUCAGAGGUGAAAUUCUAGGAUUGAUUAAAGACGAACUAAUGCGAAAGCAUUUGCCAAGAAUGUUUUCAUUAAUCAAGAACGAAAGCUAGGGGAUCAAAGACG